AAACUACAAUUUUUUUUACAUCUACAUCAGAACUCUUGGGUGGCCAGGUGCAUUAUCAAUGAGCAGUAAUAUUUUGAAAGAAUUUUUUUCCCAAACUGUAGGUCUUAAGAUUGGGCUUAAAAU